rnacentral:rRNA from 1 species
GGGUAGCGGAGAAAUUCCAAUCGAACCCGGAGAUAGCUGGUUCUCCCCGAAAUAGUUUUAGGACUAGCCUCAAGUUAGAUACCUGGAGGUAAAGCACUGAAUAGCCUAGCGGCCGAGAGGUUAGCGAAGCUUAUCAAACUCAGAAUGCCAGAGUAUUGAUGCUUGGGAGUCAGACAGUGUCAGAUAAAUGUCAUUGUCAAAAGGGAAACAGCCCAGAUCUACAGCUAAGGUCCCAAAGUCAGGUUAAGUGGAAAACGAUGUGAAGAUACGCAGACAACCAGGAUGUUGGCUCAGAAGCAGCCACUCAUUCAAAGAGUGCGUAAUAGCUCACUGGUCGAGCGUCUUUGCGCGGAGAAUUUAACGGGGCUAAACCUGACACCGAAGCUUAGGCAAUCCAGUAAUGGAUUGGGUAGGGGAGCGUUGUAUACGCGGAGAAACAGUAGCGUAAGCGGCUGUGGAGUGUAUAGAAGUGAGAAUGCCGGAAUGAGUAGCGCGAAUGCAGUGAGAAUCUGCAUGGCCGAAAGCCUCAGGUUUUUGGAGGAAGGUUCGUCCGCUCCAAGUUAGUCGGGAGCUAAGGUGAGGCCGGAAGGCGUAGCCGAUGCACAGACGGUAGAGAUUCCGUCACCACCAAAAGAGUUAAGCACAGGGACACAUUUGAAGUCUCAGAGCCGGGUGUUGGUUCCGGUAGAGAUCGAGGGAAGUUAGUACCGAAGUCUGAGAUGGAAGAUGGCGAGAAAAGCUGUGUGUAUUUCUGAGGUGCCCGUACCGCAAACCGACACAGGUAGGUAGGAAGAAGAUUCUAAGGCCAACGGGAGAAGGGUUGUUAAGGAACUCGGCAAAUUGACCCCGUAACUUCGGGAGAAGGGGUGCUCCAGAGAUGGAGCCGCAGAGAAUCGGCCCAAGCAACUGUUUACCAAAAACACAGGUUUGUGCUAAAUCGAAAGAUGACGUAUACGAGCUGACGCCUGCCCGGUGCUGGAAGGUUAAGAGGAGAUGUGCAAGCAUUGAAUCGAAGCCCCAGUGAACGGCGGCCGUAACUAUAACGGUCCUAAGGUAGCGAAAUUCCUUGUCAGGUAAGUUCUGACCCGCAUGAAAGGCGUAAUGAUUUGGGCACUGUCUCAACAGCCCGCCCGGCGAAAUUGUAGUACCGGUGAAGAUGCCGGUUACCCGCGACAAGACG